rnacentral:rRNA from 1 species
CGGCAGGCCUAACACAUGCAAGUCGAGCGCACCCUUCGGGGUGAGCGGCGGACGGGUUAGUAACGCGUGGGAACGUACCCUUUUCUACGGAAUAGUCUCGGGAAACUGAGGGUAAUACCGUAUAAGCCCUUCGGGGGAAAGAUUUAUCGGUAAAGGAUCGGCCCGCGUUAGAUUAGAUAGUUGGUGGGGUAAUGGCCUACCAAGUCUACGAUCUAUAGCUGGUUUUAGAGGAUGAUCAGCAACACUGGGACUGAGACACGGCCCAGACUCCUACGGGAGGCAGCAGUGGGGAAUCUUGGACAAUGGGCGCAAGCCUGAUCCAGCCAUGCCGCGUGUGUGAUGAAGGCCUUAGGGUCGUAAAGCACUUUCGCCAGGGAUGAUAAUGACAGUACCUGGUAAAGAAACCCCGGCUAACUCCGUGCCAGCAGCCGCGGUAAUACGGAGGGGGUUAGCGUUGUUCGGAAUUACUGGGCGUAAAGCGCACGUAGGCGGACUGAUCAGUCAGAGGUGAAAUCCCAGGGCUCAACCCUGGAACUGCCUUUGAUACUGUCAGUCUUGAGUUCGAGAGAGGUGAGUGGAAUUCCGAGUGUAGAGGUGAAAUUCGUAGAUAUUCGGAGGAACACC